GACGAACGCUGGCGGCGUGCUUAACACAUGCAAGUCGAACGAAGAGCGAUGGAAGCUUGCUUCUAUCAAUCUUAGUGGCGAACGGGUGAGUAACGCGUAAUCAACCUGCCCUUCAGAGGGGGACAACAGUUGGAAACGACUGCUAAUACCGCAUACGAUCUAAUCUCGGCAUCGAGGAUAGAUGAAAGGUGGCCUCUACAUGUAAGCUAUCACUGAAGGAGGGGAUUGCGUCUGAUUAGCUAGUUGGAGGGGUAACGGCCCACCAAGGCGAUGAUCAGUAGCCGGUCUGAGAGGAUGAACGGCCACAUUGGGACUGAGACACGGCCCAGACUCCUACGGGAGGCAGCAGUGGGGAAUCUUCCGCAAUGGACGAAAGUCUGACGGAGCAACGCCGCGUGAGUGAUGACGGCCUUCGGGUUGUAAAGCUCUGUUAAUCGGGACGAAAGGCCUUCUUGCGAAUAGUUAGAAGGAUUGA
rnacentral:rRNA from 1 species